AUCUGCCUAUUAGUGGGGGACAACAUCUCGAAAGGGAUGCUAAUACCGCAUACGUCCUACGGGAGAAAGCAGGGGAUCUUCGGACCUUGCGCUAAUAGAUGAGCCUAAGUCGGAUUAGCUAGUUGGUGGGGUAAAGGCCUACCAAGGCGACGAUCUGUAGCGGGUCUGAGAGGAUGAUCCGCCACACUGGGACUGAGACACGGCCCAGACUCCUACGGGAGGCAGCAGUGGGGAAUAUUGGACAAUGGGGGGAACCCUGAUCCAGCCAUGCCGCGUGUGUGAAGAAGGCCUUAUGGUUGUAAAGCACUUUAAGCGAGGAGGAGGCUACUUUAGUUAAUACCUAGAGAUAGUGGACGUUACUCGCAGAAUAAGCACCGGCUAACUCUGUGCCAGCAGCCGCGGUAAUACAGAGGGUGCGAGCGUUAAUCGGAUUUACUGGGCGUAAAGCGUGCGUAGGCGGCUUAUUAAGUCGGAUGUGAAAUCCCCGAGCUUAACUUGGGAAUUGCAUUCGAUACUGGUGAGCUAGAGUAUGGGAGAGGAUGGUAGAAUUCCAGGUGUAGCGGUGAAAUGCGUAGAGAUCUGGAGGAAUACCGAUGGCGAAGGCAGCCAUCUGGCCUAAUACUGACGCUGAGGUACGAAAGCAUGGGGAGCAAACAGGAUUAGAUACCCUGGUAGUCCAUGCCGUAAACGAUGUCUACUAGCCGUUGGGGCCUUUGAGGCUUUAGUGGCGCAGCUAACGCGAUAAGUAGACCGCCUGGGGAGUACGGUCGCAAGACUAAAACUCAAAUGAAUUGACGGGGGCCCGCACAAGCGGUGGAGCAUGUGGUUUAAUUCGAUGCAACGCGAAGAACCUUACCUGGCCUUGACAUACUAGAAACUUUCCAGAGAUGGAUUGGUGCCU
rnacentral:rRNA from 1 species